UGGCGCCAAGCUUCUGGCAUUCUCUAUGACAAGAGAGUGCCACAAAAGCUAAAAGGCAAGUUCUACAGGACGGCGGUUCGACCAGCAAUGUUGUAUGGCGUGGAGUGUUGGCCGACUAAAAGGCGACAUGUUCAACAGUUAGGUGUGGCGGAGAUGCGUAUGUUGAGAUGGAUGUGUGGCCACACGAGGAAGGAUCGAGUCCGGAAUGAUGAUAUACGAGAUAGAGUUGGGGUAGCACCAAUUGAGGAGAAGCUUGUUCAACAUCGUUUGAGAUGGUUUGGGCAUAUUCAACGCAGGCCUCCAGAAGCUCCAGUGCAUAGCGGGUGGCUA
rnacentral:rRNA from 1 species